rnacentral:rRNA from 14 species
GCAUACGGUGGAUGCCUUGGCAGUCAGAGGCGAUGAAAGACGUGGAAGCCUGCGAUAAGGCUCGGGGAGCUGGCAAACAAGCUGUGAUCCGGGCAUUUCUGAAUGGGGAAACCCACCGACUUUCGGGUCGGUACCUUACACUGAAUCCAUAGGUGUAAGGGGCGAACCGGGGGAACUGAAACAUCUAAGUACCCCGAGGAAAAGAAAUCAACCGAGAUUCCCUAAGUAGCGGCGAGCGAACGGGGACUAGCCCUUAAGCUAGACAACUGGUAGGAGAAGGCUCUGGAAAGUGCCGCCAUAGUGGGUGAUAGCCCCGUAUCCGAAACCUGAGUCUGGUGAAAUCGAGUAGGACGGGACACGUGAUAUCCUGUCUGAACAUGGGGGGACCAUCCUCCAAGGCUAAAUACUCCUGACUGACCGAUAGUGAACCAGUACCGUGAGGGAAAGGCGAAAAGAACCCCUGUGAGGGGAGUGAAAUAGAUCCUGAAACCGUAUGCGUACAAGCAGUCGGAGCGGACUUGUUCCGUGACGGCGUACCUUUUGUAUAAUGGGUCAGCGACUUAUGUUCAGUGGCGAGGUUAACCGUUUAGGGGAGCCGUAGGGAAACCGAGUCUGAAUAGGGCGAUUUAGUCGCUGGGCAUAGACCCGAAACCGGGCGAUCUAUCCAUGAGCAGGUUGAAGGUGCCGUAACAGGCACUGGAGGACCGAACCCACUGUCUUUGAAAAGCCAGGGGAUGACUUGUGGAUCGGAGUGAAAGGCUAAUCAAGCCCGGAGAUAGCUGGUUCUCCCCGAAAGCUAUUUAGGUAGCGCCUCGGACGAAUACCACAGGGGGUAGAGCACUGUUUCGGCUAGGGGGUCAUCCCGACUUACCAACCCGAUGCAAACUCCGAAUACCUGUGAGUACUAUCCGGGAGACACACGGCGGGUGCUAACGUCCGUCGUGAAGAGGGAAACAACCCAGACCGCCAGCUAAGGUCCCCAAGUACCAGUUAAGUGGGAAACGAUGUGGGAAGGCUCAGACAGCUAGGAGGUUGGCUUAGAAGCAGCCAUCCUUUAAAGAUAGCGUAAUAGCUCACUAGUCGAGUCGGCCUGCGCGGAAGAUGUAACGGGGCUCAAACUGGUCACCGAAGCUGCGGCUGCAUACUUUGUAUGCGGGGUAGGGGAGCGUUCUGUAAGCCUGCGAAGGUGUGUUGAGAAGCAUGCUGGAGGUAUCAGAAGUGCGAAUGCUGACAUGAGUAACGACAAUGCGGGUGAAAAACCCGCACGCCGGAAGACCAAGGGUUCCUGCGCAACGCUAAUCGGCGCAGGGUGAGUCGGCCCCUAAGGCGAGACCGAAAGGUGUAGUCGAUGGGAAACGGGUUAAUAUUCCCGUACCUUGGAUAGCUGCGAUGGAGAGACGGAGAAGGCUAGGUGAGCCGGGCGACGGUUGUCCCGGUUUAAGCGAGUAGGGAGUGGACUUAGGCAAAUCCGGGUCCACAAUCCCGAGACGUGACGACGACUGCUCAUAGAGCGGGAAGUCAUUGAUGCCAUGCUUCCAGGAAAAUCUUCUAAGCUUCAGGCUAUUCGAGACCGUACCCCAAACCGACACAGGUGGUCAGGUAGAGAAUACCAAGGCGCUUGAGAGAACGAUGUUGAAGGAACUCGGCAAAAUACCUCCGUAAGUUCGCGAGAAGGAGGCCCGGUACACGACUACCGGGGGCACAAACCAGGGGGUGGCGACUGUUUAUUAAAAACACAGGGCUCUGCGAAGUCGCAAGACGACGUAUAGGGUCUGACGCCUGCCCGGUGCCUGAAGGUUAAAAGGAGGGGUGCAAGCUCCGAAUUGAAGCCCAGGUAAACGGCGGCCGUAACAAUAACGGUCCUAAGGUAGCGAAAUUCCUUGUCGGGUAAGUUCCGACCUGCACGAAUGGCGUAACGACUUCCCCGCUGUCUCCAACAUCGACUCAGCGAAAUUGAAUUGCCUGUCAAGAUGCAGGCUUCCCGCGGUUAGACGGAAAGACCCCGUGCACCUUCACUACAGCUUCGCACUGGCAUCAGGCACAACAUGUGCAGGAUAGGUGGUAGGCUUUGAAGCAGGGACGCCAGUCCCUGUGGAGCCUCCCUUGAGAUACCACCCUUGUUCUGCUUGAUGUCUAACCGCGGCCCGUUAUCCGGGUCCGGGACCGUGCGUGGUGGGUAGUUUGACUGGGGCGGUCGCCUCCUAAAGCGUAACGGAGGCGCGCGAAGGUUGGCUCAGAGCGGUCGGAAAUCGCUCGUUGAGUGCAAUGGCAGAAGCCAGCCUGACUGCAAGACUGACAAGUCGAGCAGAGUCGAAAGACGGCCAUAGUGAUCCGGUGGUCCCAAGUGGGAGGGCCAUCGCUCAACGGAUAAAAGGUACGCCGGGGAUAACAGGCUGAUACUGCCCAAGAGUCCAUAUCGACGGCAGUGUUUGGCACCUCGAUGUCGGCUCGUCUCAUCCUGGGGCUGGAGCAGGUCCCAAGGGUAUGGCUGUUCGCCAUUUAAAGAGGUACGUGAGCUGGGUUUAGAACGUCGUGAGACAGUUCGGUCCCUAUCUGCCGUGGGUGUAGGAUACUUGAGAGGAGUUGCCCCUAGUACGAGAGGACCGGGGUGAACGAUCCACUGGUGGACCUGUUGUUGCGCCAGCAGCAGUGCAGGGUAGCUAUGAUCGGACAGGAUAACCGCUGAAGGCAUCUAAGCGGGAAGCCCCCCUCAAAACAAGGUAUCCCUGAGGACCGUGGAAGACCACCACGUCGAUAGGCCGGAGAUGUAAGCGCAGCAAUGCGUUCAGUUGACCGGUACUAAUGGCC